rnacentral:lncRNA from 1 species
CAAAAUCCAAAUCGGCAAAUCUGAAAUCCAACUCCGUGGUGGCGCGUGGUCCCUCCUUGGCUCCUCCGGAGUCACUUCAUUCUUUUGUACCAUCAUUUUCUCUGUUUGACCAUCUACUACUAGUACGAAGCUUUUCCAAUUUUUCUUGGAGAGGUGAGUUUCCUUCCGCCAAGUUAUAUAACAAUUUUUCUUCAGUGCCCCAAAUAAAUUUGCUCAGUCUACUUUUCAGUAGCUCUUUAUUUUCAAUCUGAUUGGCCAUAAAUAAUGUCCUUUUGUGUUUUAGCAAAUUUACUAUAUAUUUUACUUUAUGGGUUUGACCAAAUAACAGAUUCUUUAGUAAUUAUAAAUUUAUAAUGGUUGUUAUAAUUGAAUUUCCUUAUAUGGGGGUUUGUGUUUAUAAAUUGAAUUGUUGGGUGUCAAAUUUUGGUCAAUUAUAAGAAGCUUUCUGAGGAAAAGAAGUCUUCUUUAUUGAUACAUGAAGAUGUUUGUUACUUUGUUUUAAUGGCUGAAGACGAAGUCUAAAGUAUUCUUGAUUGAUAAUUUGAUACACGAAGAUGUUUGUUUUAAUGUCUGAAUGGGGCUGAAUUUUUAUGCUGGAACCUCUGAGAUUAUUGGCUGUUGAUCAUUAACUAAUUACUUUACUAGUACAUAAUGAUAUUGAUAUAGCAAAAACUAAAAUAAUUACACUGAAGAGAUUAUUUGGAAUGUACAAUCAAUUGUAAUCUAACAUACAAAAAUAGAACUUCUGGCUUGCUGCAUACAAGGAUAAGAGUAAAACCCUUGCUUAUUUGAUUGUAAAUUUAUGUCGUUAAAAAAAUUCUUCCCAAUAUCAAAUCCUGAUUUCGUCCCUGCUCGUCACCUUUUUGGUUAUACUUGGCUUGUUCUCUUUACCUGGAUAUAUAGUCACUUAGCUCAAAGUCUGUCUUCUUAAUCAUAUCUAGACCACUUUGCCCUGCCAAUUAACUCUUCUAUCUGCAUGAACUUGGCCAGUUCUGAACUAGUUCAUGGGUGACGACUUUAAGCUUAAAAUUUAUUUGUUUUAAAGAAAAUAUAGUCAAAAGUACAGAAGACACAAUUAAUAGAUGAAAUUUUUAAUAACACCUGAGGCGUGUGUCGUUAAAAAAUUCGUUCAAAAUUUUAGUGUCUGGAUCAUAUUUUGCAUGUUUUAAUGAGGUGAUAAUACUUCUGGCCGAAAAAUGAUGGAAAGUGUGCAUUUAACAAAAAAAGAGAUCUGCUAAUUUCUUAAUUACCUUUUCAUUGAAAUGUAUGCAUUCAACAAAAUGUAGGACUAACUAAAAUGUCGCCAUGAUAAAUCAAUUGUAAACUUAAUUACUCGUGCUUUGCACGAAUUAUUUAACUCGUGUGUUAUUAAAUAAAACUUGAUUAUACACCCACACCCACACCCACACCCACACCCAUAUACAUGUGUGUUAAUUUUAUAUACGUAUGAACACGAAAAGUGGGAUAUUGGUCACCAAAACCACUUGUCUGUGGUGACCACCACCCAAUGACGUCGUUUUAAUUAUUAAAUUGAUGUAAAUAACUAAAUAUUAUUCAGUAAUAUAAUUAGUGUUAACAUAAAGAUUCUUCUACGCGCCUCAAUCAUAAAAAACGUGUCCAAUUCUGCACAUGAACAAAAUCACACGUAAAACUUGACGGCUUAGGCCGUCGGAAGAUAGCUUUGGUGUGAAAAUAAGUAUAGGCUGAAUAAGACUUAACAAUGGAGGUAUUUAGUACUGGAAAGUAUAAUGAAUUGUGUGUACCUGAGAAUAAAAGUUUAGUCUUGUAUUUAUAGUAAUCACACCUCAUUUACAUGCCCUUCUCCGUAUGGGAAUAUGAUUCCUCAUUAGAUCAGAUUCCUUAAUGGGAUCAAAUUGAAUCUCCUUAAAAAAGGAAGUCAGAUUCUAUCCUGACACUUUCCUUAUAAGCUAGGAAUCAAAUAUAAUUAGGAAUUUUAAAUUCCUUAAAGUUCUAUAAAUGCCCAAAUAGGUUCCUACGUGGGGAGACUUCCUCCACGUGGAUCAUAGCCUACCGAAUCAUUAGAGCCCAAAUAAUCAUUCCCCAACAUUGCCCCCCAAUCUCUCAUUAUAAUGGAAGAGUUCCUCAUUAAAAUCCUAAUAGUUAUAUAAUUAAUAAGAAUGCAGUAAACCCAACAUUAACUGCCUCGAUAACGUAUCCUACACUCAUUACUGGGUCCCUACAUCACUCCCAUGUUUGCCAUCAUUACAGCCGCAUUCAGAUUACUGAGAGAAGUUGAAAAGUUAAAUCAUUUCAAAAGCCAUAUCCCCUAAAAACAACUGCCACUUUUUCAGAUCUCAACUUCAAAAGCAACUAAGAGCUCUCUCUACAACAUUUUAUUUCUCUCUGCAAAUCCUUACAUCCGACAAAAUUACCACUGAUUCUCCCAUGACUACCCCAAACCUCCCAAGUUUUGAUGUCCCAAUGACCAACAUUGUAAACACCACCGUCUCUACGACUGUAUCAAUUUCAUCCACCACCGGUACUGUCGUUUCCACUGACUCUACCAUAAUUAAUUACCACCACUGCCUCCACUGCCCCCAAGCUCCAGUCCUCUCUCAAGCUGAGCUUGAUAUACAAAAAAUGAUUAAAGAAUACUCAAAUGAAGAAGUUUUUUCCCACAUUAACAUUGAAUUGUCCAUCACUGCCGAAGACCUUGCGGAAAUACCAGAACUAUAUCGUAUUACGGCAACCUACGACCUUUGAGCCGUUCUCCCAACCGAACAGAUGUAUUACCGACCCAAUGGGUGGACCCCUAUCGCCCUCACCCCCUCAAGAACGGGUUUCACCUCCCCCUCCACUCCUUCAUUAUCACCCUUUUAGGAUUCAUCGAAGUCAGUCUAACCCAAAUGGUGUCGAACUCCUACAUCUACAUCGUCUCGUUCAUUGCCCUCUGCCACGAACUAGGCGUUUCCCCCACCAUCGACCUCUUUUUCUCAUUAUUCUCGAUGAGCCGAUCCAAGAAAUCCGGAUUUCGACAAAUAAACAAACAACAAAGUAAAGUGAUUGAGAAGCAGUUUCUGAUGAAGACAAACAAAAGAUGGCAUUCUCAGUGGUUCUUCAUCCGGGGCCCUGAUACCCAUCAAAUUCCUGACUGGGUCGAAGCCUCCAAACCGAACGUUGCCACCAAGGAGUUAUCGUGGAGUCGACUCGAAGAAAUAGUGAAGACCAUCGAAAGAAUACCAACAGAAGAAUGGAAACCCGAACUCAUGAAUAGCCAGGCUUGGUUGUAUAACCAUAAAUGUAAAUCCCGAACCAAUCAAUUAAAUCGUAGUGUUUUAAAUUCCCUUUACUCAGUUUCUUACUUCUCGUAGUUGAAAGUAGUAUGUACGUAAGCCAGUCAUUUUUGAUAUGAUGUUGCAUAUACUUUGUAAUCUUUUUCGUUUAUUAAUAAAAGAAUUAAUUUAUUAAAAGACAUUUUACUUUAUCUACAUGGUGUUAUUAUAUUAAAUGUGAUAAACUCAUAGUUAUGAGCAAUGCUUUUAGAAUCAUGAUGAUGAUCAUGCUAAUGAGAUCUAAAUUCUAGAUAGCUCAUAAAUUAAAAUUGCUCCUAAUCGUUGGAUUACUAAAAAAGGGAUUAGUGAAUCCGGAUAAAUUGGUACAUACGUUGUUUGCUCUUAGGAAGAGGAUGAUUGAUCUCAUAAUCAUUUGGAUGAAUACACUAAAACAAUUGAAAUCAACUAUUCCAGAUUGUUAAAUCAACCAUUAGUUCAAUUUCACUUGAUGCUUUACUUAGAACGACACACUUCCUUUUAAUUCAAAUCAACUAUUCCAGAUUGUUAAUCAAGAACACGACAGUAGAUAUAACCAUCUCUCAAUGCAUUAUACACAUAUCAACUUAAAUCCACAAUUGAUAGAAUUAAGUAAAACACCCUAAUUAACUAAUCCACUAUAUUUGUGAAUUACAAUUAAAGAAGAUUUAAUCACAAGUUAUGAAACUACGUGUGAUGCGUAGGUAUAUUUCUAUCCUAAGCAUAAAUUAUGAGUCCCAUCAUCAUGCAGAAAUCACAAUCACACGCUACUAUGAUUAGGUCUAAACCCAUAUUCCAUCUCUAGAAUUUCAUAUGGGUUUUCAAGUAAUUGGUGAUCAAGCAAUUCAUUAAUUCAUUAAUUAAGCAUAAACCAUAGUAGACAAAUCAGAAAAUAGUCUCACUGAAUUAAUAUAGAAGCAUGUCAAUCUUCGUUACACAGAAAGAUCCAUUGUAGACUUAAAGAGUAAAUUAGUUCAUGAUAGAUGAAUAAGAAACUGAAAUCUACAAAGAUACUAGCAUUCUGAAUACAAAGAUAAUAAUAAAGAAAAAGAAUAGAAACUGUAAGAUCAACUGCUGCUCUUCUUCAAUCUCUUUUGCGUUCUUCGUGCUAAAACUCUGUUUCAAUCCUCCACCAAAAACGUGAUAAACAAAACUGGUUGUGUGUAUGAUCAUCAAUUGACACACCCUUAAUGUCCUCUAUUCCCCUGUAUUAACCUUCUCUGUCUUUCCAAAACGCGUCUCGAAUCCUCGCACAAAAAUCUCCAGAAUCAUAAUAGAAGAAGGAAAAUUUAAGUUGUUUGCCGCGUAUCUCUCCCAGGCUCACAUUUCCUCUAUGAAAUCUCGCCCUGGCGCACAUGUGCCCCGGCGAACAUUUACAAGGUAAAAUCUGCGCCCUGGCGCAGUUGUCUAAUUUGGGUCGACUUUUCUACUUUUGUACUGAUAGUCCUGUUCUCGCCCGCACAACCUGUCCCUGCACAUAAACAAUGAAAACAAAUAAAAAUGUUCCUAAAAGUACUCGAAGUAGCAAAGACUUGGGUUUGAAAAGUAAUAGAUUCACAGUUAUGAAACCCACUCAUCAGCGAGUGUUCUCCGGACAUGGUUCAAAGAAUCCUUUAUCUGUUGCAAUAUAGUGGUCCGAUCCGUAUUAGGUGGGGUGAACACCUUGUUGACCCUUUGGUUUGGGAAGGGUGCACGGUCUCCUCUCGAACCCCCGUUAUUAUAAUCCUUCUUUUAAUUAUCUGUUUUGCCAUUAUUGUCUGAUUGGGGAUUGUUGUUCUUGUCCCGAUCUCUCGGCUUCUCCACGAUGUUUGGUUUCAGACUGCCCAUUGCCUCUUCAAUCGCGAUGAACUCCUCGGCUAUGUCGUAGACCUUUGACAAAUCCUUCAAGAUGUUGAACAUCAAGUUCUUCACUAAUUUCCGAGACCUCACCACGUCUAGUCUGGAUCGGAAAUACCCGAGGGCUAGAUGCCCAUCUAAUUGCCUCACAUGUCCGACCCCUUCACGGAAUCUCUUCACGCACUGGCUAAGGGACUCAUCGAAAUACUACCGGAUUUAAACUAGAGAACCGAUAGUUUUCCCCUCCUUUUAUUGCUCCCGAAGUGGCUAUGGAACUGGUAACAUAGUUCCUUCCAUGAUGAGAUUGAGUUCAGCUUCAGCGAUGUCAUCCAAUGUCGAGUCUCCUUCCUCAAAGUUGUAAUAAAUAUUUGACAUUUGGAGGCGUCAGAAUAGUCAUAAUAUCUCAUCAGCAGGUCAUACACCUGCCUAUUCUCAUAUGGAUCUCCCGUUCCAUUAUAACUUUCCAUGUGUGGGGCCUUUAUAUGCGGAUCGUCCCGAACCCGAUCUAUCUCUGGAGAGAACGUUGAUGUUGGGUUAAUCUGUACCAAGGUUUCAAACAUAAGGGAAAUAGUAUUUUUAUCUGAAUACCUUCGGAGUCUCCUUCUGAUUGGGAACCGCUAGUCUCUUCUCCAGUUCUGCCAACCUCCGAACAAGUGCCUCGGUUUCGUUUUUCCCAGGGAUGACUCACCUAUCCCGGUCUCUGGAUUUUAGAGAGGCUUCUCGCUUUCUCUGUUUUGUCCUUCCUCUACUUCCAUUGUUUUCUUCCCAAGAGCGACUCAUACGCCUGCUUCUUUCCUGGUUCUUUGCCUGCUCCUCUCCUGAGAGGGGCUUUAGGACUUGCUCUUGUCCUGUCGAGAACUGUCCGAACAAUGUGUCCUGGAUCGAUUCUUGGGCGACGCCUCCCUACGUCGAUCACAUGUAGAAGACACCUCCUCUCCGUUCAGCAAUGCCAACUGUGCAUCCAACUCCUUUCGCUGAAUACGUACGGAGGGCUUCGGCGGCCUCCUCAUUCUCCCGAACCUUUUUGGCCAAUAUCAACAUCCUCCUCGACGCGACCCCCAUGUCUUUUCUCCUUCCUUGUUGUCGAGAACAACCGACGUUUGACUUCAGCCGCCUGAGUAUUCUUUCAACCCACUGAUUGAUUGCGGGGUCCGAGUCUGUCCAAGAUUUCUUUGGAUAGGCCCAAUCUGUCCUUGACCGAACCCUUGGGCUGAGCAGAUGGGUCGGCUGUUGAUUUUCCAUGUCCAGAAACCGUCUUACUUAUUGCCAUUACUCCUAAACAAAUUGUUUUGUGAUUGAAGAACUCCUAGCACUUAAACUGCCCUCCUUCUAGCGCCAAUGUUAACGUUAAGAUUCUUCCACGAGUCUCAAUCACCAAAGGUGCGUUCAAUCCUGCACAAGAACAAAAUUACUUGUGAAGCUUAACGACUUGGGCCGCCGGAGGAUAGCUCCAGUGUGAGAAUAAGUACAAAUUGAACAAGAUUUAACAAUGAAUGUAUUUAGUGCUAGAAAGUAAUAAUGUAUUGUGUGUACUUGAGAACCGAAGUUUAGCCUUGUAUUUAUAGUAAUCACACAUCCUCUACAUGUCCUUCUCCGUAUGCAAAUAGGAUUCCUCAUUAGGUCAGAUUUUUUAAUGGGAUCGAACUGAAUCUCUUUAAAGGAAGGAAGUAGGUAGGAGUGAGCAAAAAACGGAUAAAACCGAAUUACCGAACCGAACCGAAUUAUUUUAACCGAAUUAUUUCGGUUUUUCGUUUUUUUUUAAUUUCGGUUAUAUCCGAAUUAUUACUCGCUAUUCGGUUUCGGUUUUCAUGAAACAGGUUAUUCGGAUACCCGAAUAACCGAACUUUAAUACUUAAAAAAAUUAAUUUUAUAAUAUUAUCUAAUAUAACUAUCAGUGUAACAACCUAACAGGUUAUUUUCUCCCAUUUUGCUUUGCCCUAGUCUGCUCGACCGCUCCUACUUUCCCAGUCCCAGAGGCCAGAUCUCGAAUCUCGAUUCCUCAGGACCUCAGCUCUUGCAGUCUUGCAUCUCGAGUCUCGACUGUCCCUGUCUCAAUCUCCGGCGCGGCUCCGCCUCUCUGUCUGUCUCGCGACUCUCGCUGACUCGCUGUUGGUAUGUUCUCGACUUCCUCCCUCUUUUAGUCUACUGUCAACCUGUAAAUUUCCUUUUGCCCGUGAUUUGGAUUUUGGGGGGAAGUGAUCAUUAAGUGAAAUUUCUUUUAGAGUUCUGUUGAGAAUCUUUAUUUACUGGUUUUGGGCCUUUUGGCAUAGAUGUAGUAGUAGUAUUGCUGCAUGUGUACUAUAUAUAAAAUUGUUUGUUUAGAAUUUAUCAAUCAUCAAUUUUUUGGAUAAUGGAAUCAAGUAGUUGUUGGUUGGUGAGAAUGUAUUGUCCCCUGCUUUUGUAUAUCAAUAUUCAGCUCCUCCCCUUUGUUGGUUUCAUUUAAACUUCUCGGCCAAUAACAAAUUGCAGUCUUAGUUCUCCUAUUUUUCUAUCUUAUCACCCCUCUUUCUCUAUUCAAACCUGCAUAAAAAAAUUUACUGGUCAAUCACAAAUAAAGCAUAGCUGUAGUAGUAGUAUUGCUGCAUGUGUAGUAUAUAUAAAAUUGUUUGUUUAUAAUUUUCAUAUGCCAGAUUGUAUUUUAAGAUUCUCUCUGUGAUGCAAGAGAUGAUUAGGAAGGAGGUGAGAAAUUAUUUGUAUGAAUCAUGUUUAGAGAAAUUAUUUUUAGAGAAUCAUGUUUUAAGAAAUUUUUACUAGGCAUUUUAUUUGCAUACUAGUGUUUCCAUCUCACACCCAUAAUUAAAAAACACUGCAAACUGAAUUGAAUAUUACAGUUGAUACUUGAUAGUAUCUUAAUAUUCAAUAACUUAUCUUCAAAAAGGAGAUCAUGACAUACCAUAGUAUUAAUGAUAGUAAAUAAGCUUCAUUAUCUUCAAAGUUACAUUUUCUUAAACCUUUAGUAAUAGUACAGUAAUAACUUAAUGAAGACAACUUGUAGUGGUCACCAAAUUGUUCAAGCUAUAGCUAUGAUUGGAUGGUGUACUAAAUUACGGCAUGUUCUCAGGUUGAGGUGUCUAACUUUGCGUAUAAGACUGAAAAACUUUUGUAACUGUAGAGAGUUUGAGCAUGUAGUCUAGCUAGUAGACUUGUUUUUUCUAAUUGCAUGCACAGUUUUAAGCAUUUUUAUGUCAUUGUGAUCAAGGAUGGAUGUAUACCUUUUGUUUCAAAAUUACACAUGCUGAUAGUUAAUAGUGAUUGACAAAUAAUUUGAACGCUUGAUUCACUUGCUUAAUUCUAUUAAAAGUACAAUCCAAGUAAAAGAACAAAACAAUCAAAAAUCCUAAGAGAGAAAGAAAGUACUUAAGAAAAAUGAGCAGGAGAGGGGAGACUUACUUAUAUGAAGGACAUGAUCUUGUGGUGCAGGUUCAGGUUCAUGUUGCUGUUGCUGACUUGCUGUUGGCUGUUGCUGACUUGCUGUUGAGUGUUGCAGUUGCAGUUGCUUGUUGCUGUUGGCUGCUAGCUGCUGCCUGCAACUCUACUAGUAGAAUAAAUUCAUGUUGGCUUGUUGGCUUGUUGGCUUGUUGCUAGCUGCUUUGUUAAGUCAUAACUUUGUCAAGGGUCUUAAGGACAGUUAAUUUGUUCGCUUGUUGCUGCUGUAUUUUUAAACUUUAUGUUGGAUGUUGCUGUUAAGUUGCUUUGCUGCUGGACAGUUAAUUUGUUCGCUUGUUGCUGCUGUAUUUUUAAACUUUAUGUUGGAUGUUGCUGUUAAGUUGCUUUGCUGCUGGACAGUUAAUUUGUGUUGGACAGUUAAGUUAACAAUUAAUUUGCUGCACAGUUUUAAACAUAUACUUUAUGUUGGAUGUUGGUUCGAUUAUUACCCGAAUACCCGAAAUUAUAAUUCGGUAAUUCGGUAUUCGGUAAUUCGGUUAUUUUUAAAUUUCGGUUAGUAUUUCGGAUAUUAGAAUUACCAAUAAUUUGGUUUUCAGUUAUAACCGAAU